rnacentral:rRNA from 1 species
AGCGAACGCUGGCGGCAGGCCUAACACAUGCAAGACGAGCGGCCGUAGCAAUACGGCAGCGGCAGACGGGAGAGUAACACGUGGGAACGUGCCCUUCAGUUCGGAACAACCCAGGGAAACUUGGGCUAAUACCGGAUACGCCCUACGGGGAAAGAUUUAUCGCUGAAGGAUCGGCCCGCGUCUGAUUAGCUAGUUGGGGGGGUAAUGGCCCACCAAGGCGACGAUCAGUAGCUGGUCUGAGAGGAUGAUCAGCAUCACUGGGACUGAGACACGGCCCAGACUCCUACGGGAGGCAGCAGUGGGGAAUAUUGGACAAUGGGCGCAAGCCUGAUCCAGCCAUGCCGCGUGGGUGAUGAAGGCCCUAGGGUUGUAAAGCCCUUUCGGCGGGGAAGAUAAUGACGGUACCCGCAGAAGAAGCCCCGGCUAACUUCGUGCCAGCCGCCGCGGUAAUAC